rnacentral:rRNA from 1 species
AGAGUGAACGCUGGCGGUAGGCCUAACACAUGCAAGUCGAACGGCAGCACAGGAGAGCUUGCUCUCUGGGUGGCGAGUGGCGGACGGGUGAGGAAUACAUCGGAAUCUACCUUUUCGUGGGGGAUAACGUAGGGAAACUUACGCUAAUACCGCAUAAGACCUUCGGGUGAAAGCCGGGGACCUUCGGGCCUGGCGCGGAUAGAUGAGCCGAUGUCGGAUUAGCUUAGUUGGCGGGUAAACGCCCACCAAGGCGACGAUCCGGUA